CAUUAAGAGCUCUUUUACUUGCCUUCUGUGAUGUAUCUCCAAUACUGUGUUGCUAUGAAGAUUGCUGCUGCGUAAAGAUACUGAUGGUCUAUACCAGGAGCUUGGAAUGUCUGCCCUCUGAGAGGUCCAACAGGC